rnacentral:rRNA from 1 species
UACGUAGGGUGCAAGCGUUAAUCGGAAUUACUGGGCGUAAAGCGUGCGCAGGCGGUUUUGUAAGUUUGUCGUGAAAGCCCCGGGCUCAACCUGGGAAUUGCGAUGGAGACUGCAAGGCUUGAAUCUGGCAGAGGGGGGUAGAAUUCCACGUGUAGCAGUGAAAUGCGUAGAGAUGUGGAGGAACACCGAUGGCGAAGGCAGCCCCCUGGGUCAAGAUUGACGGUCAUGCACGAAAGCGUGGGGAGCAAACAGG